GACCGCUGCUUUUACCGCAGCCGAGGCCACACGGACAGCCGGGUCGAAUGCCGA
rnacentral:sRNA from 1 species